UUUAGACUUUGUAGAUGCCAGGAACAAAGCUUAGUGUUUGGCUCAGCUAAUAGAGGGACAAAUAUAGAGAGGAAUGCAUGUGUGGUGUGAACACGUGGUAGUCCUGUAGUGGGACUAAAAUCCUACUUGUUGCUUUUACAAGCAAAACUAGUGUUUGAGCUUAAAUGUUAGAAACACACUUGAGGGUCCAAGGUUGUGUCACAAUCUUCUGGAAGGGGGCUGGGGCUGUCUAUGGAGAAGACAUCCAAUAUGUGUUAAGCUUACGCUUUCUUAACCUGUACCUUAUUUAAGUAGUGCUUCCCAUAAUAGUGAAGGCUAUAUAAAAUUCAAAGUGGUAUCAUCCUCUCUGGCUGGCCUAGAUCUCAAGGCUCUGUAGGGUACUUAUUCUCCAACGUCCAACAAUCCCUUUUUAUUCUUAAUUUUCAGCCACGGUAUGUCAAUUUUAUUUUCUAAAAAUUGCCUUGACAAGUAACUCACCAUCCUAGACUAAAUCUUGUUUCUAACCUCAUAACAUCUGUCAGUAUGUCAUGUGUUUGUGUAAUUGAUUUGUGAAAUAACCAGUUUAGUAAAUACCAUUUUUUGUCAGAAAUUUAAAUUAGGGCCUGUAAAUGCCAACCACAGGACGGGGGUGCUCAGGCUGUUAGUCUAAAACUCAUUCAAGGUUGGCAUGAGAGUUGUAAAUUGCAAUAAUCUGAUCUUGAACAAAUUUUGAAGUUCAUAAUUUUUCUUGUCUUGUCUUGUUUGCAUAUCUAUAGAUUAGUCACAAUGUAUGAGUAAUUUCAUUCAGUCUUCAAGCUCCACUUGCAGAGUACACAAACCAAGUUUGAAAACUUAUAAUUCAUUCAUAAUAGCAAGCUGAGCUUUAACAACAUGAGGUUCAUCUGAAGAAGGCUCGUUUACACCCAAGAUUGCAACAUCUUAGUAUCUGUCAUUGUGAUAAAUAAUUCUGUCAUCUAUGUUGUAGAAUCAAGCCUUGCAGCGUCUCAAGGAUGAAAGAGAUGCAGCUGUGCAGCAAACAAAACAGCUACAGAAGGAAUUGGAAAUUCUUAAAAAUCAAAGAAGUCGAAAGAGUGAUCGAGGUGCCUCAAUUAGAUUUGCACUUUUUGUUGGGCUCAUUGGAAUCGUAGCUGGCUGGCUUUUGAACUUAUGGUCAUCCUCACCUUCUAUGGAUUAAGUUGGUUCUCAUCGCAGUUGCUGGAAACAGUUUUUUGGGGAAAAAGGAAAACAUUAUUGAAGUAACUGUUAAGUGAAAAUCUGGGUCACAUAUGUAUUUUUCUUUUAAUUUUGUGUAAAUUAGAGUUUAGAGAAAUGUUCGUUGAUUAGUUGGUUCCUUCAAUGUUUUUCUGCCAUCAAGCUCUCAAAGACAAUAGUUGGCUUUGCUCUUUGCUGCUUUCCUUCUAUUUUAAACGAGUAGUGCUAGGGAUUUUCCUAAUGUGUAAUGUCGUAAUAAAUAGUAAGAUCAAGUAAUAGGGGUAUCAUAUCCCCAUAUUAAUUGAUCUCAUAAUUUCACUAAACAUCACUUUGAGAUGAUCCCAAUGGGACAAAUAGCAUUAUUCUUGAAAAUAUAUACCACAUGAUAUGUGGACUAAUAUUAUUCAAACAAUGCUAUAUAGCAAUCAUUUUUCAUAAGACAAUUGUCAAGAAAAUCAUUUUUUAAAAGACACUUUAAAGAAACCAUCGGGCUUCGUUUCAUCACGUUACACAGGUGCAUGUGAAAUGCUAAUUUCUUGUUAUGUCAAUCCAUAUAAAAAGAUAGUUCACAGAAGUAUACACAAUGACAAGUCAGUGAGUUUUUCAUACACGUGCAAGAAAUGAAUGUGUCGCUGUUGCCAUCUUUAUAGCUUCAGUGAUAAAGAACGAAGGCUAGGAGGUUAGAUCUUUACAUGUGUGCCACGUCUCACGUGUAGACAUUCUUUCUAGAAUUGCCAUAUUUUUGUCCCAUGUUCAUGACAAGUUUCAAAGGGUCAUUUAAGGUAGUGAAAUCAAGUUCUUUGUACAAUUAUGAAGGUUUCCUUUUCAUGGAGCACUUCGACAUGUUACAGAAUACAGAAAUAGUCAAUUGUAGUGAAAGCUAUAUUUCUCUUAAGUUGGUCGCUCAAAUCGUUCUUUUCAAAAAUUGUACAUCCACGAUGCCACUUGGUCUUACCUUCAAAAAAUGCUAAAAAUAAAAUACCUGCAAAGUUCCAGCUAUUAGAAUUAUUUCACUCCUAAAUUCACAGUGGUGGCGGGAAACUAAACAAUAAAGAGGGAAAAAUCUUUGCUUAUUGCCGUCGCUCAUGUCAAUACAUCAGUCUAAUGAUAAGCAAUCCAUUUAUAACACUUACACCAUAGGUGACCAAAUGUUCCGAAUAUCAAACGUCAUAUAAUGUCUUUUAGCGAAGUAUUAUAGAUAUUUAUUUAAAUAAUUUAAGUGUCUAUGCAUAGGCUCUUGAUUCCUUUACUCCAGCACUAGAUCCAAAUUACCAAUUAGGUGGAAAAAAAAUGGUGGCAUCUCAUAUAAAAAUAAAAUAGUAGUACUAUAUUUCAAAAAGAGCAAAGGCUCCUAAGUUGGGCUGUGGGGUUUGUUCAAGCAUGUAACCGAUAGUAUAGGUGAUAUACUCUCCUGAAUAUGGUUACUAUGGUAUGGUGGGAGUGAUCGAGUUAACAAGUGGUUUACUACUGGUGUCAUGGUGGGGGAGAAAUGUGGUUGCUGGUGUAUGUUGGAAAGUAAAGAGAAGUGGGAGUGGGAGUGGGAGUGGGAGUGGGAGUGGAAGUGGAAGUGGAAGUUGAAAGGGAGAUAGCUCCUACUUUUAUCAUAUAAGGACAAAAAGGUGGGAGACAAUGCGCAUCGAUCAGGUAGGGCGAGGAUGAUUGAUUGAUAGUGCUCGAAUGUGGACGAUUUUUAAACUAAAUAUAGAUGUAGUUGUGUGGAAUAACUAUAUUGAAUUUGGAGCUAUGACAAAGGAUCACAGGGGAAGGUGGUUGCAGCCAUGGUUCACAUUUGGCAAGGGGCUUCGCUCCUCUCUUCUAGUCACCGAGGCCAUGGCUCCAUGCAAGUCUCUUUAACAUAAUAGCAUUCAGGCUAUGUUGUUGGUGGAGUGUAAUGCAAAGCAAUUAGUCCAUGAUGUGUACUUUGAAUUUUCACUUGCAUCGUAGGGUCUAGUUUGCUAAACUUUGUGACCUCUAUGAAUAAAAUUUAGUGUGAAUCAUAUCAUUUUACUCCUUGCAAAGAGAAUAAUGUAGCACACUAUAUCUUUAGUUUAGUAAUGGUUCGUACAAAUUAGGUUGAUUGUGUUCCAAACCAUUGCCCACCAAUUCCUCCUAUUUGUUAUAGGCUACUUGAAUUGAUGGAAUACUUCGGUUUUCGCCAAAAAAGAAAACAAAAAAAUAAAAAAAAAGGGGGAGAAAGAGAAGGGCUACAAUUUCUUUAACCUCAUAUUAGGAGGAAAUGGUGGCAGAUAGCCAAGAAAAACAGACAAUUUUUCAAAAUAGCCGUUGACUACUGUUUUAAAAAAAAUUGAAAAAAUUGUAAAAACCUUAAAAACAAUGAAAACCGAAUAUUGCCCCUAACAAAUUACUCUCAAACCGACGUCUGGAGAAAGAAGAAGCAGAAAUAGCAAGGAAAUCGAUGACUUUUUCUUGGAAAGAGACCGAUCGGCCACUAUUAGAGGCGAA